GCAGACGUUGGCUUCCGUGUGGAUCGCGAUGGCCGGGACCUCGGUUCCGUGUCACGCGUCCGCUGCGGUAUGUCCGACAUCGUCGGCGUGCACUUCUCCUCUAGUAGGACGUCGCGACCCGUUGGGUGCCGGCCUACGGCCCGGUUGGUCGACUGUCGCGUCGCGUUUACGCGUGCACGCGGCAGACCACCGGUUGCCCGGCCGGCUGCCCGGCGGUAUAGAUCGCUAUAAAACGGUAUUGGGCCGCAUUAAGUGCGUUCUGGCUCGUCGGCAGGCUCGUCUCGCUCGGAUUUACGGACCUAGUGCCGUUGCCGGGCGCUUGGCGUGGCCGUUAGUCAACGAUGUCCUCGGACUGGCUCUUACAUUCGAACGGAUUUACCGGUCGGCGACGCUACUGCUUUGGGUACUUUCAGGACCCGUCUUGAAACACGGACCAAGGAGUCUAACAUGUGCGCGAGUCAUUGGGACUUGUUAAGCCUAAAGGCGCAAUGAAAGUGAAGGUCGGCCCUAGCGUCGACCGAGGGAGGAUGGCUCGCGUUACGAUGCGAGCCCGCACUCCCGGGGCGUCUCGUGCUCAUUGCGAGCAGAGGCGCACCCAGAGCGUACACGUUGGGACCCGAAAGAUGGUGAACUAUGCCUGGUCAGGACGAAGUCAGGGGAAACCCUGAUGGAGGUCCGUAGCGAUUCUGACGUGCAAAUCGAUCGUCGGAACUGGGU
rnacentral:rRNA from 1 species